GCACGGAAGAAGAAUGAGAUGGAGCAAGAGCUUGGUCGCAAAGUUAGUAGGGGAGAAGUUUGGAUAGCAACACAUAAACAUGCUAAUGGGGAAUUUGUGAAUGAUGGAGCAAGAGAGAUUGGAGAAAAAAUUAAAGCAUAUGAGACAAAUACAUCUUCCCUUUCACAAGAUAUAUCAAUUGAAGAUUCACUAGCUCAUGUUCUAG